UAGGGAAUCUUCGGCAAUGGACGAAAGUCUGACCGAGCAACGCCGCGUGAGUGAAGAAGGUUUUCGGAUCGUAAAACUCUGUUGUUAGAGAAGAACAAGGACGUUAGUAACUGAACGUCCCCUGACGGUAUCUAACCAGAAAGCCACGGCUAACUACGUGCCAGCAGCCGCGGUAAUACGUAGGUGGCAAGCGUUGUCCGGAUUUAUUGGGCGUAAAGCGAGCGCAGGCGGUUUCUUAAGUCUGAUGUGAAAGCCCCCGGCUCAACCGGGGAGGGUCAUUGGAAAAUGGGGGACGUGAGUGCAGAAGAGGAGAGUGGAAUUCCAUGUGGAGCGGUGAAAUGCGUAGAUAUAUGGAGGAACACCAGUGGCGAAGGCGGCUCUCUGGUCUGUAACUGACGCUGAGGCUCGAAAGCGUGGGGAGCAAACAGG
rnacentral:rRNA from 1 species